UACGGCCGUAGCGCGUUGAAAUAACGGUUCUCGUAUGAUCAGCGAAGUUAAGCAACGUCGAGCUUGGUCAGUAACUGAAUGGUUGACAGCUUGAGAAUACCAGGUGCUGUAAG